ACUCUUGNNUCNNCNGAAUUCGGCAGAGAUGCCUUAGUGCCUUCGGGAACUGUGAGACAGGUGCUGCAUGGCUGUCGUCAGCUCGUGUUGUGAAAUGUUGGGUUAAGUCCCGCAACGAGCGCAACCCUUAUCCUUUGUUGCCAGCGCGUAAUGGCGGGAACUCAAAGGAGACUGCCGGUGAUAAACCGGAGGAAGGUGGGGAUGACGUCAAGUCAUCAUGGCCCUUACGAGUAGGGCUACACACGUGCUACAAUGGCGUAUACAAAGAGAAGCGAACUCGCGAGAGCCAGCGGACCUCAUAAAGUACGUCGUAGUCCGGAUCGGAGUCUGCAACUCGACUCCGUGAAGUCNGAAUCGCUAGNAAUCNUAGAUCAGAANGNUNCGGNNAANACNUNCCCGGG
rnacentral:rRNA from 1 species